CAAUGGCGUCAGCAAGGCCCUUCCACGUCUGAACGUUGCUAGAUUUCUCUCUGGCUGGUUUCAGUGUGCUCGAACAGCACAAAGUCCAAACAAUUGAAAGGUUUUUUUUUUCUGUUUUCCAUCGCGCUCAGCAGGUCACAACUCGUAUAAAGACACAAAGGUUGCAGCUGCUGCCGGUAAAAAGCCUGCAGUGCGUUUGUUGAGAAUGUGAGGCGGGCGUCGAUCAGGAGGCUAAAAAAACGUUUUGCUAUGGUGCUUCGGUGAGGAGUGUUACUGGUUGAGGUUUCCCAAGGGGACGCUACUGAGAAGCUGGCUCACCAAGUCGCGGCCCAGGUUGCUGCUGCUGAUCGCAGGGUUGAAGAGGCCUCAGGUGACCCUCAUGAGGAGGAAAAGGAUGAAGCGCACAAAAGUAGCAAAGGCCACGUAAGCGAACCUUCAGCCGGAUGCCCCACUUCACCUGAGUCCUUAACGAAGAGGAUCUGCUCGUUAGAUAUGGAAGACCAAGAGAAGGAAGACCUGUGUGUUGGAUCUUUUCCCCAGCAACGAACUAAAAUCCAGGAACCACAAAACCGAGUGAAGCCAGAGGAUGAACCACAGAGAUCGAGACCUCCAGACUAAUCUGGAUUACACCCACACCUGGACUACCAGCUUCACCCCCUUCUUCAAAUACACAUUAGACUGUAAUGACUGUGGCUUGUACAUCAUUCCUAUCCAAAGAACAAACCGGCUGUGCUCUUAGUUUGGACUCUUUCAGGUUUCCAGGUCAAUGUGUUUGAGUCUCUCAGAGGAGCCAGAAUCCAAACCAGCUGCUGAUUAAACUCAAGUCUGACGGGACGCCGACUCCUCCUGCCUCACAUUCUUCUGUUAGAGCUAAACUAAAAGAUGAUUUACUCACUGCCACACAGUACAAAGCUUUACAUGACAAACACCAAGAAAUGUGAACGUCACAACACUCAAUGAGAUGGAAAUUUGUGGUGUCAAGAUUAAGACAGUAGCUAAAAACAAAGCUACUUAUCAAGGCGCCAUUAGCAAUAGAAAUGACAAAUGAGCCUAGGUUACAGAGAUCUGAUAUGCUCUUGAGGAACUGAAGUCCUUGACUGACUACAUGAGAAACAUUAGCAGACUGGAUCUUCUAGGUUUUAGUCAAAUUUCAUGUUUCAUUUUAUUUUUCAUAAAGUGGGUAGAAUAAGUUUUGGAACAAAAUGCUUCAGUUUCGUCCUGUUUGUCUGUUCGUACUCGUUGCCACGCCACCGACUCAAACGACGGAGUGAUGGGGAGAUUUGCUUCAUGUUGGAUGAUUGGACCUCGCUGAGCCAAACGCAUCGAUUGAUUGGCAAAAAUUCUUUCACGAGCCCGAGAAAAUGAGGGUUUGUGGUUCGUUUCUCUGGCUGGGUGAACAGGAGUCCACCGUGUUACAACAGUAGCUGUGGCGUUGAAGUACUUCAGAUUAUUUAAAUGGCAUCUAGUCAUACUUAGCCAACUAAGAAUUUCUUUGGUCACCAGAUCAGAUACUGGAAAGUCAGAGAUCACUGUAAAGAUUUUACUAAACUGGGAUGUAAUGGUGUGAUUAAAAAGUAGUUUGAGUUAUUUGACGCAUUAUAUGGAGGAAAGAAAUCAUUGAAUAAAAUGGAAACAAAUCUUUCCUUUAA